UAUUGUGCCAUAAUUUCUAGCCUAGUUUCAGUGAAGAGAAUCUGAUUUCAGCAAAGUGAACAUUGUUCGUGAACGAAAUCAUUGAUAGUCAACGUAAAUGAAUAAAAUGUGGACAAUCUUUAAGUUUCGAGCCUAACCUCAAUUUUUUUUUUGUCUUAGUAAUCCAUCCGUUUCAUGCACUAAAUCGCCCGUGCAGAGAUUCGUAAAUACACACGAUAAUUAUACGAAUGUGACAGAAGCACGAUAAUAAUCGGUUAUUUUAAAUUUCGAGCGACGAGAGAGAAUAUCUUACAAUAGGUAAUGCAUUUACUAGGCACCACGAUGCAUCGCAGCAACCUUUCUAGUUGUAUAAAAACCGUUGUCUCGAUAACGGAAACUAUGGAUAGGAUAUUCACGUAUUUUUUUUAACUUAAUCUCAAUCUUGUAAUUCUAAUUUCAGUUGAUAUUCAAACUUCACCCGAGCCACAGCAUUAUGCGAUGCACUUUUAAAAUAAAUAUAAUAAAAAUAAUGGUUUAUGAAGUUGAAAGCUAAAAGAAUAAAGAAAUGAGAUGAUAAUUUUUUUUAUGUUCAAAUUCCAAUAGAAAAAGUAAUUACUUUAAUUUUUGUACAAUGGCAAUGAUAUUUAAAUUAUAACAAUAUAAUUCAUUUAUUUAAUAUCUGAAUUCUAAAUAAGGCUGCUACGAUGCAAGCUCGAAAGCACAGUGUACCCAUGUGUGUAUAACAAAAAGUCAACAAGUAAACGUGCAAUAAAUCAAUCGAUUGCAAAUCGCCUUAUAAAUUGUAUAAAAAUCUCUAUUUGCCUAGCUUAAUGCCUUAAGGAUACGGUAUUGGGAAUUUGUAUAAUUCCUACAGUUUUUAUGCCCAGUCGAAGAGACACUGUUGCAUUUAUUAUUUUUGUUUAGCAAUCUCGUACUCACUAGGAAAAACACUUGCCUUCUGUGCACUCAGCGGUAGCAUUUGUUGAAUCAAGAUGAAUAAUUGAAUCGGUGCAUAUCGGCACAGAGAGACAAAAGCGAAUCGAAAAAUAAAUCAAAGAUAUAAGGAUAGCAGAGUAUUGCUAAUUUAUCCGUCGUGCAAUAUGUGUGACAGAUGAGGCAAGCGGCACGCCCAAUUGCAAAUGAAAUACAUCAGAUUAGAAAUCCAUUCACUCGAGUAUUCACCGAAGUACUUUAGUAUUUCUCUCCAUUCUUAAAUUCACAUGAUAUAAAAUCCUAGAUUAAUAUGGCCGGUAAUUUGUUUCUCUUGUGUCCUCGUAUUUCUUUCUCUUUUUUCUUCCUCCCCAUAUCUUCUUUCCCUCCCUCCCGUAAUUCUCCUAUCAGUUUUCCCCCUUUUUUUUAAUUAUGUUCAUAUUACUUAUAUCGUACGAAUGGUUUUACAUUAAUCCGCAAUUAGUAAAUAGAUAACCGCAAGCUUAACGUCUAAGUCAAUUUAUGAAUUAAUGGUGUGUGUAUGUAUGACGCAUGAAAUAUAUGAAGAACGAUUUGCUUCAAUGUUCAACAACCAUUCUCUCUCUCUCUCUCUCUCUCUCUCUCUCUCUCUCUCUCUCUCUCUCUCUCUCUCAUUCACACAUCCAUUCUUCUCCCUUUUUCCUGUUUUUCAUUUGUGGUUUCACGUAUUGAAAAAUUCGAUUUAUUUCCAGGAAACGUAUUAAAUCCAUUUUUCACACCAUAAUAUGAAUUUUUUCUCCCUGUUUUUUUUGCUGCUUCCAUCCUCUCCUUCUCUAUUUAGGUUAGAAGCAUGUAAGAUACCGCUCGUCGAACGAUACAAUAUCUUUUUAUUUUCUACCUGCAAGCUUCUUAAUGGAAUUGUUGUAAUAUAAAUAUGUAGGGAAUAUCGAAUCGAGUUAUCUAAUCGCCUUAUCAGGCUUACGUCUCUUUCCACUUUUUUGCUCUUACGAUCUUCCGCACUUGUCAUUUUUUAUUUAUUUUGCUAUUGUCGAAACUGAGUAAUUAAAUACUACGAGUAAUUUUUUUUUUUUCGAUUUUUAUAAAGCAAAGCAAAGCAAAAAAAAAAAAAAAAAAAAA
rnacentral:lncRNA from 1 species